UCGGACUGCAGGCUGCAACCCGCCUGCACGAAGCCGGAGUUGCUAGUAAUCGCGAAUCAGAAUGUCGCGGUGAAUGCGUUCCCGGGUCUUGUACACACCGCCCGUCAAGCCAUGGGAGCCGGGGGUGCUUGAAGUGCGUCGCCGCAAGGCGCGCCCUAGAGCAAAACCGGUGACUGGGGCUAAGUCGUAACAAGGUACC
rnacentral:rRNA from 1 species